GACGACAACACCCCCACCAACAACAACUACUCCUACUACAACAACAACUCCGACAAUAACAACUCAAAGUCAAGGGCCCCCAUCUAUUACAUCCAUAACGAUAACGCCUGCACACUAUCACUAUGGCGACGAUGUACUGCUGACUUGCGACGUGAAAAGCAACCCAAUGUAUUACUCACUUGGAUGGAAUAUGAUGGCCACACAAAGCCACAUUCCAUCUAAUGUCCAUGCAGAGAACAGUCUAUACAAAGCAGUGAUACGCAUCAAACACCUUGCCAGAGAUAAUUUACGGCAAUAUCAAUGUUAUGUGCAAAAUUCUUUUGGCCAAGACAUCCAAACAAUAACACUU